rnacentral:misc_RNA from 1 species
UUUCCGUAGGUGAACCUGCGGAAGGAUCAUUAUUGUAUAACCGAGGUGCGAUGGCUGUCGCUGACCCGACAGUUCGUGCACGCCCGAGUGCCCUCACACACAUCCAUCUCACCCCUAUGUGCACCACCGCGUGGGUCCCCCUUUGGCUUGUUCGGAGGGGGGCUUACGUUUUCACACAAACUUUGUAUGCAGUGUAGAAUGUAUUUUUUGUUUUUGCGAUCACGCAAUCAAUACAACUUUCAACAACGGAUCUCUUGGCUCUC